GAAAUGCGAUACUUGGUGUGAAUUGCAGAAUCCCGUGAACCAUCGAGUCUUUGAACGCAAGUUGCGCCCGAGGCUUCUGGCCGAGGGCACGUCUGCCUGGGCGUCACGCAUCGCAACCCCCCACAACCACUCCGGUAGUUGAGGGGAGGAGGAUGGUUUCCCGUGCCUCACCGGGCGCGGUUGGCCUAAAUAAGGAGCCUAAGGCAUCGGGUUGCCGCGGCGAUAGGUGGAGAACAAGGCCUCGGCCGUGGAAUCAACCGGUCGCGCAGCCCCUUGAUUGUGGAGCUCGCAGGACCCAUUGUUGUCAACUUGUUGCGACACAAACGUUGCGACCCCAGGUCAGGCGGGGCUACCCGCUGAAUUUAA
rnacentral:rRNA from 1 species